UACGUAGGGUGCGAGCGUUAAUCGGAAUUACUGGGCGUAAAGAGUGCGUAGGCGGUUCGUUAUGUCUGCUGUGAAAGCCCCGGGCUUAACCCGGGAAUGGCAGUGGAACUGGCGGGCUUGAGUGUGGCAGAGGGGGGUGGAAUUCCGCGUGUAGCAGUGAAAUGCGUAGAGAUGCGGAGGAACACCGAUGGCGAAAGGCAGCCCCCCUGGGCCAAUACUGACGCUCAUGCACGAAAGCGUGGGGAGCAAACAGG
rnacentral:rRNA from 1 species